rnacentral:rRNA from 1 species
GACGAACGCUGGCGGCGUGCUUAACACAUGCAAGUCGAGCGGUAAGGCCCUUUCGGGGGUACACGAGCGGCGAACGGGUGAGUAACACGUGGGUGACCUGCCCUUAGCUCUGGGAUAAGCCUGGGAAACUGGGUCUAAUACCGGAUAUGACUCCAUGACGCAUGUUGUGGGGUGGAAAGCCUUGUGCGGCUAGGGAUGGGCCCGCGGCCUAUCAGCUUGUUGGUGGGGUGAUGGCCUACCAAGGCGACGACGGGUAGCCGGCCCUGAGAGGGCGACCGGCCACACUGGGACUGAGACACGGCCCAGACUCCUACGGGAGGCAGCA